UACGAAGGGUGCAAGCGUUAAUCGGAAUUACUGGGGGUAAAGGGUGCGUAGGCGGUUCGUUAAGUCUGUUGUGAAAUCCCCGGGCUCAACCUGGGAAUGGCAAUGGAUACUGGCGGGCUAGAGUGUGUCAGAGGAUGGUGGAAUUCCCGGUGUAGCGGUGAAAUGCGUAGAGAUCGGGAGGAACAUCAGUGGCGAAGGCGGCCAUCUGGGACAACACUGACGCUGAAGCACGAAAGCGUGGGGAGCAAACAGG
rnacentral:rRNA from 1 species